AAAGGUUCCCACACGCGGGCGGUGCGCAGCUGAUGAAGGUUCGUGCAUCAUUUUUUUCGCCUUUUUUUUCUGUUGGUUUGCAUAUCUCGCGCUACCCUUCCUCAUUGUUGCCUCGCCGUACUCUCUCUCUCUCUGACUCUCUCCAUCUCCCGUUCAGGUCCACAUCAUGACCACACCUUCUGAUCCAGCCAUGGCCUCCCCGUGCCUCUCCUCUCCAUCACUCACUACCACCGCCAUAACAUGGAGCUCAGCCGUCCACCGUCUCUUCCUCCAUCGUUCCUGCUACGCCGGCCACCUUCCCCAUGGAUGAUGUGCAGGCCGCCCGUGCUGCUCCUGGAGCUGCCCUUCUCGAGCUCGGUGUCGCUGCGCUUCCCAACCCCCUCCGCCAGCGUCAGAUCUGGCAAGGCGGCCGAAGAGCACCAGCAUCACGCCCUCCCCACCAUGGUAUGCCCAGCUCUUCCUCACGCUGGCCUCCUCCAUCAAGGUCGUCGAGCUCCCUCUCCUCUGCAGCGGCCUCGAGGUCGACACUACCACAGAAUUGCAAGAUUGGUACUGUGUAAUACUCAACUUGCUUUGAAUACAAUUUCUGUGAUGAACUGAAGAA